UGGCUCGAGGACGAACGCUGGCGGCGUGCUUAACACAUGCAAGUCGAGCGAUGAAGCCUCUUCGGAAGUGGAUUAGCGGCGGACGGGUGAGUAGCACGUGGGUAACCUGCCUCAUAGAGGGGAAUAGCCUUCCGAAAGGAAGAUUAAUACCGCAUAAGAUUGUAAUAUCGCAUGAUAUAGCAAUUAAAGGAGUAAUCCGCUAUGAGAUGGACCCGCGUCGCAUUAGCUAGUUGGUGAGGUAACGGCUCACCAAGGCGACGAUGCGUAGCCGACCUGAGAGGGUGAUCGGCCACAUUGGGACUGAGACACGGCCCAGACUCCUACGGGAGGCAGCAGUGGGGAAUAUUGCACAAUGGGGGAAACCCUGAUGCAGCCAACGCCGCGUGAGUGAUGACGGUCUUCGGAUUGUAAAGCUCUGUCUUCAGGGACGAUAAUGACGGUACCUGAGGAGGAAGCCACGGCUAACUACGUGCCAGCAGCCGC
rnacentral:rRNA from 1 species